UACGGAGGGGGCUAGCGUUGUUCGGAAUUACUGGGCGUAAAGCGCACGUAGGCGGCUUUGUAAGUUAGAGGUGAAAGCCCGGAGCUCAACUCCGGAACUGCCUUUAAGACUGCAUCGCUUGAACGUCGGAGAGGUAAGUGGAAUUCCGAGUGUAGAGGUGAAAUUCGUAGAUAUUGGGAAGAACACCAGUGGCGAAGGCGACUUACUGGACACAUAUUGACGCUGAGGUGCGAAAGCGUGGGGAGCAAACAGG
rnacentral:rRNA from 1 species